AGCAGAUACAGUGGCUAUACAUCUUGGAAGAUGCUCAUUCCUGUCUCCCUACAACUAUGGCUCAGGAAGGUCCUGAGUCUCAUCUACUGAAAGGCCAGGAGGUCAGCCCACUGAAGGCAUACACUUGUCUUCUUCCUAGCAUCAUGUGUAAUAGCUGAUCUCUGAAUCUGAUUAGACCUUGGAGAUCAUUUGGUCCAAGUGCCUCAUUUGAAAGCAGAGGACACUGAGGCACAGAGCAGGCACGGCCAUGCAGUGAGAUCACCGCACCUCGGGAGCCUGAUCCCAGAGCUUCUAUGCCCAGCACAGGCUCUUCUCCUUGUACUGCCCCAGCAGGGCCCUUUAGAGUCGAGGCUGGCCUUUGUGCCACCUCAUCUGUGCCAGCUCGGCUGUGUGAAUACAAUGAACAGAGGGUGUGACACGCAGCAAAUAAAGCUCCUUAUUGAUUGGGAGGCCACUGGAAAGAGUUGUUUUCAUGGACUUGGCAUCAGCAAUGUGCUCCUCUCUGCAGAGAGAGGGAGAGAGAGAGGUGAUCCUUGCCCAGAGAAAUUUCCUCUGAGAAGAAUGUGUUUUGAAAUUGGCUAUGCUAUAGGGCUAUAGAUGUAUAUUCAACUACUUAGAAGGAGCCUAUAAUUAUGCCAUCCUCUCUGAGUGUGUUGUUAUGAUAGCAGGAGAACUUAAGGCAGGCACUCAUGAUGAAUGGGUAUCUUGAUAAAAUACCAGCCCAAACUUGGUGUGAAAAUCUUUCUACUGAAGAUGCCAGAUUUCAAAAAGAGACACAGCUGCACCAGAGACAGUUACAAACAAGUGGAUUCCAUACUUGAAGUAAUAAAAGAGAGACUUUCACUUUCUCACUCCCUCCCUUAACACCUUGUAUAUUGCUCGAAUUUAACAAUUCCUACUGUGUUUAAUAAAUACCGGUUACUUCUAUGUCCCCAGCUUGACAGUGAGCUCAUGAAAAAUAGGAGCAAGCAGGAAAAAUAAAUAGGUCAGACUUUUAAAUCAAACUUUUGCUUUCCUUUGCACCAAAGUGAAUCAACCGUUAGAGAUAUUAUAGUAAAAUCAUCAUUGACUUGAUUCUGCUCUAUUUAAUUCACUGGCUGAAUUCAAAAGACAGUGAAGCAAACUGUUAACUGCCUAAACUCACUGUUUCAACAGUCCAUCUGAUAGAAGAAAGAUAAAGUAACCUGAAGAAAGUGGCUACUUUGAUUAAUAGGAAAGUAGCAACAAUAGAGACCUAUGGAGGUGAUUUGAUACCUGAGUGAGGAAAUCUUGGGCUGUCAGUGACACAGUGCAACUACUCAUUCUUUAUUGCUUUCUUGAUCCUGCAGUGUCAGAAUUCAUUUGCUGAAUAAAGAAAAGGAGUUUUACACUCUCAAAGAAGUAAUAAUGCUGCAAUAUGCCUCACUGGAAGCCUCACUCUAACAAAACAAAGGAAAUACAGGUGUCAAACAUCAUCAAGAAGACUAAUUUAUUGACCAAUCAAUUGCCUUGGAUCUGGCAGGAGUGGUUUUCUCUGAGGGUCUGAGACCAACAGCAACCAGGAGCAGCUCAAACUGGAUUUCUUCUCAGCCCUGUACAUAAAAGACAUUCUUUCCUUGCUAUGGAAAAAAGCAGAUGCAAUUAGAACCUGCUAAGCUAAUAGCUAAAAUAAUGCUCUGACAGCAAACAGAAACAGAAAGCGAAAACUUGGAAUUUGCGGGCAUGGAAAAUACUGCAAGGGAAGGACAGUUGAAUGUGUUCCAGGAUCCUAGGGCAGCCCCUGGCAGCUGCCCAGAGCACAGCAGGUCACACUGCUCCUGUGCAAGGAAAGACCUUUUCUCUCACUGGAGCCCAGGCUGCUGGAAAGUUUCUCCUGAAACAACAGGACACAGGGAUAGUCCCACAACAACAUAGCUCACCUGCUGAAACAACCCCACUGAACUAGAUUCUGGAGCAUAGACAGGGAGAGGAGCUGCUAAGGGAGAUGUCACUGUGCAGGGAACACUCUACUUUCUGUCUCCUACAUGCUGGUGCCAAAGAAGAUGUGUGAGUCAUAAAUCAGAGGAAGGACGAUUACAAUGGCAGGAAAGAUGAAGUGAGCAGAAUGUCAUUGGAAUUGGGCCAUUUCUCCAAGCUAUAGGGCUGACGUGAUGCUAUUUGUUGCAUCAUUUAUUCACCUAAUAAAGUGUUCAACAAAUA